rnacentral:lncRNA from 1 species
GUCGCAUUACACCAAUGAAAAUAUGAAGGCCUACAAGAGUCUCGAGGCUUACAACUAUUUUGCAAGCGGUUGGGUGCGAGAUAUUUUUGUGAAGAAGUUGUCCACGGAUUCAUUUCUAUUGAAAGCCAAAGUCAACCCUUCCCAACGCUCUCCAGACAAGCCACAUGAGGCCUGGGUGAACACACAGAAUGAUGGGACUGUGGUCAAUGGUCACUGCACCUGCAUGGCUGGGUAAGUGAAUCAACAUUGAAUAAACUUGCUUGGUCAUAUCAGUGAUAAUUGUAGACAGUUUACUAAUCAGUCUACUUUAGAUGCACACAAUGACACUUGUGAAUAAUUUAGAUUUUUGUUUGUUUUUACAGCUUGGGUAGCAUGUGUUCCCAUGUCGCAGCCAUCCUCUUCAAAGUGGAGGCAUGUCACCGUACUGGCUUGACUACAGAUGCAUGUACAUCACAACUCUGUAAAUGGAACAAGACAUUUGUGAAGAAGAUUAAAUCUGGGCCAGUCGUUGAUAUGGAUUUUUCCAAGCCAAAUCACAACAAAACAACACGGACAGUCGAGCCUCAGCCUACCAAAGAGAUCAAGGAGCCAAAUCACAGUGAUUUUAUUGCAUUCCUUGCUGAUGUGCAAAAGGUAAACCCCACCACCGUCUUACUCAGUGUAGUGCCAGAGUUUUCUACAGCCACAGAGGAACCAACCCCUCUACACAUGCCCAUACCUCUUACUACACUACUAUACAAACCCGAGUAUAGAACCAUGUCAACACCAGACUUUCAAAGAGAAGUUGAUAAAGUGUUCCUCAGCCUUAAGGUAAGCACUGUCCUCCAGAAAACACUACAUGAAUGAUCUCA